rnacentral:lncRNA from 1 species
AGCAUGUUCCAGUGCUUAGUGCAAAAACUAAGGAUUAAUCCUGCACUAUUCCAAUAAAAUGUUUUGAUUCUGAAAGCAAAGAAUGGCACUUUGCCAGCCAUUCAAGUACUGCAUCAAAUGGACCCAAUUUGAACAACUGACAAUUCAAAACAACUGGGUAAAAUAAUCCUGAAAGAAAACCACCACACAUAGGAAAAAUGAUCAUUUACUUUUUCAAGGUCUAUUUUUGCAGUACAACA